rnacentral:rRNA from 1 species
GAGUUUGAUCAUGGCUCAGAUUGAACGCUGGCGGCAGGCCUAACCCAUGCAAGUCGAACGGUAACAGGAAGCAGCUUGCUGCUUCGCUGACGAGUGGCGGACGGGUGAGUAAUGUCUGGGAAGCUGCCUGAUGGAGGGGGAUAACUACUGGAAACGGUAGCUAAUACCGCAUAAUGUCGCAAGACCAAAGAGGGGGACCUUCGGGCCUCUUGCCAUCGGAUGUGCCCAGAUGGGAUUAGCUUGUUGGUGGGGUAACGGCUCACCAAGGCGACGAUCCCUAGCUGGUCUGAGAGGAUGACCAGCCACACUGGGACUGAGACACGGUCCAGACUCCUACGGGAGGCAGCAGUGGGGAAUAUUGCACAAUGGGCGCAAGCCUGAUGCAGCCAUGCCGCGUGUAUGAAGAAGGCCUUCGGGUUGUAAAGUACUUUCAGCGGGGAGGAAGGGAGUAAAGUUAAUACCUUUGCUCAUUGACGUUACCCGCAGAAGAAGCACCGGCUAACUCCGUGCCAGCAGCCGCGGUAAUACGGAGGGUGCAAGCGUUAAUCGGAAUUACUGGGCGUAAAGCGCACGCAGGCGGUUUGUUAAGUCAGAUGUGAAAUCCCCGGGCUCAACCUGGGAACUGCAUCUGAUACUGGCAAGCUUGAGUCUCGUAGAGGGGGGUAGAAUUCCAGGUGUAGCGGUGAAAUGCGUAGAGAUCUGGAGGAAUACCGGUGGCGAAGGCGGCCCCCUGGACGAAGACUGACGCUCAGGUGCGAAAGCGUGGGGAGCAAACAGGAUUAGAUACCCUGGUAGUCCACGCCGUAAACGAUGUCGACUUGGAGGUUGUGCCCUUGAGGCGUGGCUUCCGGAGCUAACGCGUUAAGUCGACCGCCUGGGGAGUACGGCCGCAAGGUUAAAACUCAAAUGAAUUGACGGGGGCCCGCACAAGCGGUGGAGCAUGUGGUUUAAUUCGAUGCAACGCGAAGAACCUUACCUGGUCUUGACAUCCACGGAAGUUUUCAGAGAUGAGAAUGUGCCUUCGGGAACCGUGAGACAGGUGCUGCAUGGCUGUCGUCAGCUCGUGUUGUGAAAUGUUGGGUUAAGUCCCGCAACGAGCGCAACCCUUAUCCUUUGUUGCCAGCGGUCCGGCCGGGAACUCAAAGGAGACUGCCAGUGAUAAACUGGAGGAAGGUGGGGAUGACGUCAAGUCAUCAUGGCCCUUACGACCAGGGCUACACACGUGCUACAAUGGCGCAUACAAAGAGAAGCGACCUCGCGAGAGCAAGCGGACCUCAUAAAGUGCGUCGUAGUCCGGAUUGGAGUCUGCAACUCGACUCCAUGAAGUCGGAAUCGCUAGUAAUCGUGGAUCAGAAUGCCACGGUGAAUACGUUCCCGGGCCUUGUACACACCGCCCGUCACACCAUGGGAGUGGGUUGCAAAAGAAGUAGGUAGCUUAACCUUCGGGAGGGCGCUUACCACUUUGUGAUUCAUGACUGGGGUGAAGUCGGAACAAGGUA